rnacentral:rRNA from 1 species
GAUGAACGCUGGCGGCGUGCCUAAUACAUGCAAGUCGAGCGAACGGACGGGAAGCUUGCUUCUCUGAUGUUAGCGGCGGACGGGUGAGUAACACGUGGAUAACCUACCUAUAAGACUGGGAUAACUUCGGGAAACCGGAGCUAAUACCGGAUAAUAUUUUGAACCGCAUGGUUCAAAAGUGAAAGACGGUCUUGCUGUCACUUAUAGAUGGAUCCGCGCUGCAUUAGCUAGUUGGUAAGGUAACGGCUUACCAAGGCAACGAUGCAUAGCCGACCUGAGAGGGUGAUCGGCCACAAUGGAACUGAGACACGGUCCAGACUCCUACGGGAGGCAGCAGUAGGGAAUCGUCCGAAAUGGGCGAAAGCCUGACGGAGCAACGCCGCGUGAGUGAUGAAGGUCCUCGGAUCGUAAAACUCUGUUAUUAGGGAAGAACAUAUGUGUAAGUAACUGUGCACAUCUUGACGGUACCUAAUCAGAAAGCCACGGCUAACUACG